CCUACGGGUGGCAGCAGUGAGGAAUAUUGGUCAAUGGGCGAGAGCCUGAACCAGCCAAGUCGCGUGAAGGAUGAAGGACCUCGGGUUUGUAAACUUCUUUUAUAUGGGAGUAAAGUGAGGAACGUGUUCCUUUUUGUAUGUACCAUACGAAUAAGCAACGGCUAACUCCGUGCCAGCAGCCGCGGUAAUACGGAGGAUGCGAGCGUUAUCCGGAUUUAUUGGGUUUAAAGGUUGCGUAGGGGGUUAAUUAAGUCAGCGGUGAAAGUUUGUGGCUCAACCAUAAAAGUGCCGUUGAAACUGGUUGACUUGAGUAUAUUUGAGGUAGGCGGAAUUCGUGGUGUAGCGGUGAAAUGCAUAGAUAUCACGCAGAACUCCGAUUGCGAAGGCAGCUUACUAAACUAUAACUGACACUGAAGCACGAAAGCGUGGGGAGCAAACAGGAUUAGAUACCCUAGUAGUC
rnacentral:rRNA from 1 species